GGUAUAGCCGUAGCAGUGGCGGCGGUAAUACGGAGGGGGCCAGCGUUUGUGGGAGUUACUGAGGGUAAGGAGCGGGUGGGCGGCCAGGCAAGUGGGGCGUGAAAGGCCUGGGCUCAACCUGGGAACCGCGCUGCAGACUGCACGGGUUGAGGCCGGGAGAGGGUGGUGGAAUUCCCAGUGUAGAGGUGAAAUGCGUAGAGAUGUGGAGGAACACCAAUGGCGAAGGCAGCCCCCUGGGUCGAUACUGACGCUCAUGCACGAAAGCGUGGGUAGCAAACAGGAUUAGAUACCCGAGUAGUC
rnacentral:rRNA from 1 species